rnacentral:rRNA from 1 species
AGAGACAGCAGCAGCCGCGGUAAUACGAAGGGGGCUAGCGUUGUUCGGAUUAACUGGGCGUAAGGGCGCGUAGGCGGGUUUUUAAGUCAGAGGUGAAAUCCCAAGGCUCAACCUUGGAACUGCCUUUGAUACUGGAAGUCUUGAGUCCGGGAGAGGUGAGUGGAACUGCGAGUGUAGAGGUGAAAUUCGUAGAUAUUCGCGAGAACACCAGUGGCGAAGGCGGCUCACUGGCCCGGUACUGACGCUGAGGCGCGAAAGCGUGGGGAGCAAACAGGAUUAGAUACCCGCGUAGUCCCUGUCUCUUAUACA